rnacentral:tRNA from 1 species
GCGGGGGUUGCCGAGAGGAAAAGGCGCCAGAUUCAGGGUCUGGUUCCGGAGGGAUCCGUGGGUUCAAAUCCCACCUCCCGCA